UUCCCUGGAAAGGGGCGCC
rnacentral:snRNA from 1 species